UCGAAACAAAUGAUCAAAUCCAACCUCCUGCGUCCGCGCAUGCGCUUCCCUCUUUGCGGAGUAACUUCCGCUACAGAUCGACUUUCGUGCAGUUUUGUUUUGAGUAACCGAAUUCGUUCCACGAAUUAAUUCUUCCCAAUUAGUUGUAGACGGACAGAAACCGCGACACAGUUCGUCCUUCACUGCUUUAAAUAAGUAAAGCUUCAUUUAAAUCUUCGCGUCCGGAUAAACUCGUCCCGGUGGUGCAAGUUGAAGCUUCUCGGCCUAGUUAGCUUAGCUCGCUAACAAAGACGCGUUUGUCAGCAACAUAUCGCAAAUUAGAGAUCCCCUGUGAAGGUGUUGUGAUUAUCGUGUGAAAUAUGUGUGCAAGGACGACAGCAAAGUACGAGAAGGAACUUUCUGGAACGAAAGAGGAGGACGAGCCACAACGUCAACUUGUGGACUCUGUUCGCAUGCAGCCUCGUGUUGUGUUACACAGAGCAGAUGUCAGUGAAAAUCUUCCUCCAGAGCGGCAGCAGUCAGUGUCCCCUCACAUCAAAGAGGAAGAGGAGGAUGAAGAGGUUCAACACAUCAAAGAGGAGGAGGAAGAGUUCCUUCACAUGAAAGAGGAAGAGCAGGAGGAAAUCAUCAAGGUUCCAUCGACUGGUGUCCCUUUGAAGAGUGAAGAUGAAGGUCGACGUGAGGAGAGACGAGGGGCGGAGCCACCAAACAGCAACAGCUCAAGUGAUGGAGACCACUGUGGAGGAUCACAAGCAGAUGGCCUCUUAGCUCCACAAUCAGAUAGUGACAUGACGUUGCACUCUACUCACACUGAUGGAAAUGAUGGUGGUGAACCGUCUGAAGGUGAUAUGACAUGUCACACUGACAACAAACGAUGGAAAUCUUCUCAGUCUGGGAAAAAGGUUGCUAAUAAGAGCAUUUUGAAAAAACGUGCGCGAACACACACUGGAGAAAAACGUUUUUGCUGCUCAGUUUGUGGUCAAAGAUUCUCUGUGAAGGGAAAGUUAAAAAUACACACAAGAACCCACACUGGUGAGAAACCAUUUUCCUGCUCAGUUUGUGGGCAAACUUUCUCUGAGAUGGGAACCUUAAAAAUUCACACAAGAACGCACACUGGUGAGAAACCGUUUGCCUGCUCAGUUUGUGGUCGAAGAUUCUCUCGAAAGGGACAUUUGACAAGUCACACAAGAACGCACACUGGAGAGAAGCCUUUUGCCUGCUCCCUUUGUGGGCAAAAAUUCUCCCUAAAGAUGAACUUAAAAAGUCACACAAGAACCCACACUGGUGAGAGACCUUUUGCCUGCUCAGUUUGUGGUCAAAUAUUCUCUCGAAAAGGACAUUUGACAAGGCACACAAGAACCCACACUGGAGAGAAGCCUUUUGCCUGCUCAGUUUGCGGUCAAAGAUUCUCCGUCAAGGAAAGCUUAAAAAUACACACAAGAACCCACACAGGUGAGAAACCUUUUGCCUGCUCAGUUUGUGGUCAACGAUUUUCUCGAAAAGGAUAUUUGACAAGUCACGCAAGAACCCACACUGGAGAGAAGCCUUUUGCAUGCUCGGUUUGUGGGCAAAGAUUCUCCGUCAAGAAAAACUUAAAAAUACACACGAGAACACACACAGGUGAGAAACCUUUUGUCUGCUCAGUUUGUGGUCAAAGAUUCUCCCUAAAGAUGAACUUAAAAAGUCACACAAGAACCCACACUGGUGAGAAACCUUUUGCAUGCUCAGUUUGUGGUCAAAGAUUCUCCUUAAAGGAAAGCUUAAAAGUACACACCAGAACCCACACUGGAGAGAAGCCUUUUGCCUGCUCAGUUUGUGGUCAAACUUUCUCUGAGAAGGGAACCUUGAAAAGUCACUCAAGAACCCACACUGGUGAGAAACCUUUUGCCUGCUCAGUCUGUGAUCAAAGAUUCUCUCGAAAAGGACAUUUGACAAGUCACACAAGAACCCACACUGGUGAGAAACCUUUUGCAUGCUCAGUUUGUGGUCAAAGGUUCUCCUUAAAGGAAAGCUUAAAAGUACACACCAGAACCCACACUGGAGAGAAGCCUUUUGCCUGCUCAGUUUGUGGUCAAACUUUCUCUGAGAAGGGAACCUUGAAAAGUCACACAAGAACCCACACUAAUGAGAAACCGUUUUCCUGCUCAUUGUGUGGUCAAAGAUUCUCUCGAAAGGGACAUUUGACAAGUCACAAAAUAACGCACACUGGAGAGAAGCCCUUUUCCUGCUCAGUUUGUGUAAAAAGGUUUUCUCAUAAGUAUCUGGCUAAGAAUCAUAAGUGUGUUGGUGAGAAUAGCAGUGAUCAAUGAAAGUUUCGCCUCUCGUCGGAGAGAGCCCGCAGCUGCAGCUGAAGGGGGAGGCAACCUAAGAAGACGUUUGCAAAGACCGGAGGGUGUGUCUGCGAAUUAAUUUGCAAGGACAGCCAGUGCGCCCACUGGCUGCAUGGACGAGGCAAGCUGGAAGACUAGGACGCCGUAACAGUUCAUGUUCUAUGUCUCUUAUUGUCUGUGUAUAUUUUUCAGUUAGAUGAACAAUCUUAGCUAUUUUAGUCCAGUAUGCAGUAAUUGCAGCCAAUUGGUGGGAAAGGGGAGGUUUUGCGAGGGCAAGUGUUAAAUCGCGACCUGUGUAUUUCCUUUUCCUGCCGAGAAGUUGCUGUUAGCACAAAGUCUUGAAUAAAGUUAGGGUAAGGAUGAGUGAGAAGAGCCCCCCUCCCGUUAUAUUGGGAGGAGGUGAAUGCACGGUCCUUCCUCCAGUGUUCUCGUCCCUCCCGGUACCGAGGUGGUUGGUCCCCGACUCCGUAUCUCCUGGCUUUGGGGUCAGUCCGGGCGUGUCUUCGCCCAUAGCCGACCACUGUCCAUUCAUCAUUCCCAAGCAUGGGGUUGGCGCGUCCCAGUAGUAAAAGCAGCAUAAAGCUUAAGAUCAUGCCCAAGGUGAAGAGGGAGAAGGAAAAGCUCCACAAGCAGAAGUCAAACAGCUCGCUCGCUCUCAGGUUGGAACAGCCGAUAAAACACACCCGAAGUCAUCUAGCAGACAAAUCGGAAUUUGGACUGUUGUUUUGAGCAGGUUACUUUGCUUCCCUCUCGUGGCCCGGUGAGGUAGAAUUUGCAGCCGCAUGGCCAGCUACUCGAAGCUGCUUUCACACAGCAUUCCAUAUUGUCCACAAACGUAUUCUCCUUUCCUUUUUGAGAGCCUCACCCACCGAAAUAGCCUUUGCCCCGAGAACAUGCGUGCUUGCACACUGCCGAUGUAGGUUGCGACAUUAACAUAAUUAGAUGUCAGCGUGCCAGCUCCGAUUGUUUUCAACACAAAGUAGCAUGCGUAGUGAUUUCUAAAAAAAUGAAUACCUCUCUGGCAUUUUCAAUCCAAAAAGUAUUUUAUACAUGAUAAUCGCUCCUAAAAUUGUGGCCAGUUGUUAAAGAUGUACUGUUUUCAGAAGAACUUUUGUAAAUCAUUUUUGUACGCACGUGUAUAUAGAGUACAUAUUGCGGGCAUCGGGCCAAAAUCCUUCCAUGUCCAAAUUUGGUCCGUCUAUCCAUCCAUUUUCAACACCGCUUAUUCCGGUAAAGGUCGCGGGGCGCUGCGCCGGAGCCUAUCACAGCUGACUUUGGGCGAAAGGCGGACUACGCCCCGAACCGGUCGCCAGUCAGUCGCAGGGCACAUAUAGACAGGGACAACCAUUCGGACUCACAUUCACAGCGUCACUGAGUGGGAACUGAACCCACGCUGCCCGCACCAAAGUCAGGCGAGUGUACCACGACACCAUCAGUGACUUGCCCAAAUCUGUUCAAUUGAAUAUUUUUUCAUCAAUUGAUACCGUUGUUCAGUCCACACGUGGGACUGUGAUUCUUCCAAACGACUGAGCGUUGUAAAUCGCUUGCUCUUUGAUGACGCAGUGUUCAUAGAGACGUCGUUAUUUAGUUUUCCUGAAAAGUAAUGGUUUUGGACAUGCAAGUAUUCCACCCAACGCCAAUGAUAUCCAACCUAUAGGAUACAGCACGUUUUUUGUACGAGCGCGCAUUUGGAGUUUGUAAUCGCUUGCGGUCGUGCCACUUUAGGAACACGGGAUGUGAAGUGUACGACUCCUGAAGCAGAAUCACCAGGCAACUGAUGAGCUUUUCCGGCCCCUAACCGUGACCUCCGCGAGUGAGGAGAUGCCGUCCUCUUAUCUGCCGGCACCCGCUGUCCUGACUGCGGCUUAGGCGGCAAGGAUUAGCUGUAUUGCGUUUCCUUACUGUGCAUUUUUUUUUUCGAAGCGGUGUCACUCGCAUUGCUCCUCCACUGGCCUGCUGUGCCAAUGAAAGAGCCUACAAUUCUGUCAUUUUGUCAUAAACAGUGUCUACACGUUGCUUGCAUGCAGCAGAGUGCAGCCAUCUCUUAGAAACGACACGACGGAAACCGCCUUCAGACUGAAAUGAGACUUUUUGGAGACACCUUGUUUCUACAUCACGCAACCUUCAAUGACACCAGACGCCGAUGUGCAGAAAUCUUGGACGUUGAACAGAAAAGGAAAACAUUGACUGUAUUUGUGUGUUGAGAUGUUAAUAAUAAUACUGAUAAUAAUACCGAUAAUGAUGUGCAGAUGCAAGGUGCUCAAGCGGUUUUGACUUUGUUUGGCUUGUCGUGACCUCAACUAAAGAGGUCAUGGUUGGUGGUUCAUGAUCAGCUGACUGUAGAUGUAAUGCCCCAAUGUGAAUGUUUGCUUUGCCAGUAGUUUGCAAUUGUUCUUAUCGUCUUGCUCUCGUGGGUUUGCUGUCCAAUCCCCCACCACCCCCAGGUCCACCAAACCAUCCCCCCGUGCGUUCAUAAACACGAUAGGAUCAAUGAAGAAAUCAAGUCGGCCAAAUGGGCAAAUCGGUCGUUUGCGUAAGCAUGUUUAGUCUAAGCCGACGCUUGCUGCGAGGGGCAUACUAAACGAUAGCGCGUGCAGGAACAUGCUCGUUUCCGCUCACGGUCGAGCAUCGCCAAGCUCCACUGUCGUCGGGUGCUGUUUCUGCAUCCGGUGUGCGCCGAUGCCUUUUUGCCUUCAAGGCUUUUGUGGUGUUGUGCCAAGCAGAGCGACACACUACAGUCGUGUGUGCAAUGUGGCGCUCAUUUCAAGUUUACCGUGUCUGUGCUCGCACUUUACAAACUCCUUGAUGGGGGAAAUGUGCGUGUACACGCGUUUACGGGAAAGUAGGUGAAGAAUAUAAAUUGUUAUUUGUGAUGAACUAUUAAAUAUGUAAUGUAAAAAUGCACGCCCAUCGAUGUGAUCCAUGGCUGUGGCGUUCCUGCUCCCGUGUCCACUGACGCGCCGGGCCAACGUGUUACCAUGGUAACCACGUUAUCCAUUUGAAGCUUAAAGCCAAAGCUUAAGUCGACUCGUGAAUCACUUAUUGAUGAAGAUAAAAUGUUUGUGUACAAUGUGUCACUUUUUGAAAUCGUAUCAUCAACUUGUUCUGAACAUAUGAUCGCAACGUGUAUAUUGGUUUUAAAAACAAAGCUCAUGUAUAUUGAAUUUUAUCAAUGAUCGUUUGAAUGUAAUUUAAUGGGGUUAACAAUGAUUCCGCAAUGCCGGGUGUUUGCACGAGUGUGUGCGCGUUGCCAGUUGUUCCGUCAUGUAUCAAAGAUAAGCUUUGGAAAUUAAAAUGACUUGAUGGUGUGAUAAAUGUGCGUCUGCCGCUGCUUCCAACGUGUCUGACUUAAAAGUAAGGUUUAUUAAUACCCGCAUGUAAGUUUGUUGGGUUUGUAUGAAAAUGCUUGCCGCAGCUUCUCCCUACAUACAUCGUGACCAAGAAAGCUGACACAAUAUGAAGUUGUCGUUUCUCUUAAUUGUCGAUUCAUGAAAUGUUUAGAGUGAGGAGCUAUAAAGGUGUUCUGUCAUAAACUGACUUUGCCUCUUUUCCCAAGACAACUCUGCUUUCAGCUGGACUAUCGCAUGACAGGCGUGCGUGUCAAAUGCCUCAGUGUGUUCUGUAUGUUGUUUGUGAAUCCAUCCAGUAAGGAAUAAACCGUAUUGGAAAAGUAA